GACGUAGGGGGCGAGCGUUGUCCGGAUUCAUUGGGCGUAAAGAGCUCGUAGGCGGUUCGGUAAGUCAGGUGUGAAAUCUCCACGCUCAACGUGGAGGGGCCACCUGAUACUGCCGUGACUCGAGUCCGGUAGGGGAGUAUGGAAUUCCCGGUGUAGCGGUGAAAUGCGCAGAUAUCGGGAGGAACACCAGUGGCGAAGGCGGUACUCUGGGCCGGAACUGACGCUGAGGAGCGAAAGCGUGGGUAGCAAACAGG
rnacentral:rRNA from 1 species